rnacentral:lncRNA from 1 species
AAUACAUUUGCGAUUUGUAUUCUAAACAAGCUUGCGUGGACUAAAUAUGCUGGCUGUAUUGUUUUCUUGGCUCUUAUUCACUUGUUAAUAAUGUGUUGUUUUUUUGGGAAAUAGCCCUCACUCUGUUGGCUCGGAAGAGGAAUCCAAGGGAAAUGUCAUGCUGAAUCCUGUGCUAGAAUUCAAAGCAACACGUGUGCAGGAGUUAUCUGGUCAAACAAGGAUAUGGUUUCCUAAAUGGGUGGAUCCAGACAGAAGGUGGACCAUGGAUGCCACAGCUGCUCAAUUAUGUUCUGAGUUGUUUCCUGAUGGGCAGUGGGGACAAGUUGAGAACAGCUGCAGCCGGAAGAGGAGAGGAAGAGGAGGAGGAGGAAGAGGAGAAAGAGGAGAAGGAGGAGGAGGAGAAGGAAGCCUGUGUCCUCCUGCAUUUGUGGCCUUGCCCAUCAUGGAGCUAAACUUGCAGAGCUUGGAAGGAGGGCCAAGGUGUUCUGACAGGUUUAUGCAGACCAAGAAGAACAAGCAGCAGAUGGGAAAGAAGUCUGUCUCCUCAGCAGGACCAGCCUCUGCACAGUCCUGCAAAACAGCUUCAAAAACCAAAACUCCAUCGCACCAGACUUCCUCUUCAAGACUGCUAAGCUAAUGCAUGAUGAAGCCGGGAGCCAGCACCAGCAGACAAAGGCUCUGCACACACCAGGAAUGAAGAAACCAGCUUCCAUCCAGUUAACGGGCAACAGGAGUAUUGAGACAACUCCAAGAGUCCGGACUCACAGACAAUUUCUCUCUGUGCCUUUUGGUUUGUGUUUGGAGUUUACAGAUGUGAAGCCACAGCUGGAUUCCCCGUUUUUCUGAGGGGCCCUGAGAGCCA